AGUGAACGCUGGCGGUAGGCCUAACACAUGCAAGUCGAACGGCAGCACAGUAAGAGCUUGCUCUUACGGGUUGCGGGUGGCGGGCGGGUGAGGAAUACAUCGGGCUCUACUUUUUGGUGUGGGUUCACGUAGGGAAACUUACGCUCAUACCGCAUACGACCUUCGGUUGAAAGCAGGGGAUCUUCUGGCCUUGCGCGGUUGAACGAGCCGCUGUCGGAUUAGUUGGUUGGCGGGUUAAAUACCCACCAAGGCGACGAUCCGUAGCUGGUCGGAGAGGCUGGUCGGCCGCACUGGAACUGAGACACGGUCAAGACUACUAAGGGAGGCAGCAGUGGGGAAUAUGGGACAGUGGGGGGAAGCAUGGUCCAGUGAUACCGCGUGGGUGAAGAAGGCGUUGGGGGUGUGAUGACGUUUUGUUGGGAAAGAAAAGCAGCAGGUUAAUACCCAGCGGGUGUGACGGUACCGAAAGAAGAAGCACCGGCUAACUUCGUG
rnacentral:rRNA from 1 species